rnacentral:rRNA from 1 species
GGGAGGCAGCAGUGAGGAAUAUUGGACAAUGGGCGCAAGCCUGAUCCAGCAAUGCCGCGUGUGUGAAGAAGGCCUGCGGGUUGUAAAGCACUUUAAGCAGGAAAGAAGGGCUGGGGGCCAAUACCCUCCAGCAUUGACGUUACCUGCAGAAUAAGCACCGGCUAACUCCGUGCCAGCAGCCGCGGUAAUACGGAGGGUGCGAGCGUUAAUCGGAAUUACUGGGCGUAAAGCGCGCGUAGGCGGUCCGCUAAGUCCUUUGUGAAAGCCCUGGGCUUAACCUGGGAACUGCAGGGGAUACUGGCGGGCUAGAGUGUGGUAGAGGGUAGCGGAAUUUCCGGUGUAGCAGUGAAAUGCGUAGAGAUCGGAAGGAACACCAGUGGCGAAGGCGGCUAUCUGGACCAACACUGACGCUGAGGUGCGAAAGCGUGGGGAGCAAACAGGAUUAGAUACCCCCGUA